GCGGGGCGGGGCGGGGCGGGGCCGGCUCGGCGGCUCCGCUCGCUGCCUCGGUCCUUUGUUUGAGCGGAGCCGGAGCCGGAGCCGGAGCCGAGCGGCGCCGCCGGAGGCAGCGCGGGGCCGCGGCCGCGACCGAGACCUGCGGGCGCCGAGACCUGCGGGCACCGGGCCCCGCCGCCGCCGCCGCCGCCCGCAGAGCCCGGCCAUGGCAGGCGCGUAGCCCCCCCCAGCAACACGGGACCCCACACGCCUGCCGCGGCUGUGCUCGAAGACGGACGGGAAAGAUGAUUGGCCGCCAGGCGAGGGGCGCCGCGUGAUUGGCCGGAUUCCUGGAGAGCGUCACGGGAUAGGUGCCCGGGACCCCCACCCAGCGCCGCUGCGGGGGCUGCCCCCCACUCGCACCCCGGGGGGGGGCCCAGCGGGGGCCCAGAGGCCUCCAGCGCUGCAGAAGUGGCUGGAUGCAUCGCGCCGUGGAGCAGCUGGGGGGCCGGGCCGGACGGGACCCCUUCGCCGUGGGGAGCCUGGGCUGCAGCGGGGCCUGGGCCGCCUGCCCCCCCCGCCCAUGGCUGCCCGGCAACAGGUGUUCUUCCAGCAUCGGCCAGGCCCAGCUGCCCCCCCACCUGGCGCCCCCCCACAGCGGUAAUGGCACCCACGCCAACAAGCCCUAUUUCCCCGCGGGGGCGCUGCCGCGGCCCCCCCCCGGGAAGCUGGCCUCGCUGGAGGGCCGUGCAC